rnacentral:rRNA from 1 species
AUUGAACGCUGGCGGCAUGCCUUACACAUGCAAGUCGAACGGUAACAGGUCUUCGGAUGCUGACGAGUGGCGAACGGGUGAGUAAUACAUCGGAACGUGCCUAGUAGUGGGGGAUAACUACUCGAAAGUUACGCUAAUACCGCAUACGUUCUACGGAAGAAAGUGGGGGAUCUUCGGACCUCAUGCUUUUGGAGCGGCCGAUGUCUGAUUAGCUAGUUGGUGAGGUAAAGGCUCACCAAGGCGACGAUCAGUAGCUGGUCUGAGAGGACGACCAGCCACACUGGGACUGAGACACGGCCCAGACUCCUACGGGAGGCAGCAGUGGGGAAUUUUGGACAAUGGGGGCAACCCUGAUCCAGCAAUGCCGCGUGAGUGAAGAAGGCCUUCGGGUUGUAAAGCUCUUUUGUCAGGGAAGAAAAGGUGGCGACUAAUAUCCGCUACUAAUGACGGUACCUGAAGAAUAAGCACCGGCUAACUACGUGCCAGCCGCCGCGGUAACAC